UACGAAGGGGCUAGCGUUGUUCGGAAUGACUGGGCGUAAAGGGCGCGUAGGCGGCCUGGUAAGUCGGGUGUGAAAGCCCGGGGCUCAACCCCGGAACGGCACCCGAUACUGCGGGGCUUGAGACCGGGAGAGGAGGGUGGAAUAUCCAGUGUAGAGGUGAAAUUCGUAGAUAUUGGAUGGAACACCAGUGGCGAAAGCGGCUCUCUGGCCCGGAUCUGACGCUGAGGCGCGAAAGCGUGGGGAGCAAACAGG
rnacentral:rRNA from 1 species